GCGGGUGUAACUCAAUGGUAGAGUGUCAGCUUCCCAAGCUGAAAGUUGUGGGUUCGAUCCCCAUCACCCGCU
rnacentral:tRNA from 2 species